UCGCGUUAGUGAAACCAGUCAUAUAAAAUAUAUCACAAAUUUGGAAAUGAAUGCAGAAAUAACCUUGCUGAUUGUCAAAUUGGUGCCACGAACAAGAUAUUUUCAUGUUUAUAAUUCUUAGUUUAUUUCACUUCUCUCUAGUGCAGGGACUCUGGCC
rnacentral:lncRNA from 1 species